UUAACCUACUGAGCGAGGCCAGGGAAUGAACCCCCAUCCUCAUGGAUCCUAGUCAGGGGGCGCCUGGCCAGGCUGCACUGGGAGAGGCCUGGCUCAUGUGGAAUCCCAACCGUGGGAUCUAGCUGGGAUCCGCUUGCUCUUAGGCAUCGGGAAAUGGAGGUGUGACGAGGCUGAGCGAGUCGGUGCCGUCGCACGGAGACACCACUCAAAUGCAGCGUCUUUGAUCUGUGACAUAGAUGACCUCAUUGACCCUUCUCCCGGGGAGACACACUCCUUCUGUGUUCCGAAUUUGCAAAAGCAACUCUCUCUGGCUUCCGGACAAGAUCAGAAAAUGCAAUGUAGCUUCUGCUUGGUUCUCUUGAGACACUCAACUCUGAAGCUCACAGCCGCUUCCAUGCUGUGAGGAAGCCCAACGAGCCCACGCAGAGGGACGAAAUGGAGGGGCCAUUGGCUGCAACAGCUUGAGGGACCCCAAGCCAGACUGCCCCACCCACAGAAACUACGAGAACCAAUAAAAUGUCUCUUGUUUUAAGCUGC